rnacentral:rRNA from 1 species
GCUUACACAUGCAAGUCGAACGGUAGCAGGAGGAAGCUUGCUUUCUUGCUGACGAGUGGCGGACGGGUGAGUAAUGCUUGGGAAUCUGGCUUAUGGAGGGGGAUAACUACUGGAAACGGUAGCUAAUACCGCGUAAUAUCGAGAGAUUAAAGGGUGGGACUUUCGGGCCACCUGCCAUAAGAUGAGCCCAAGUGGGAUUAGGUAGUUGGUGGGGUAAAGGCCUACCAAGCCUGCGAUCUCUAGCUGGUCUGAGAGGAUGGCCAGCCACACUGGAACUGAGACACGGUCCAGACUCCUACGGGAGGCAGCAGUGGGGAAUAUUGCACAAUGGGGGGAACCCCGAUGCAGCCAUGCCGCGUGAAUGAAGAAGGCCUUCGGGUUGUAAAGUUCUUUCGGUGAUGAGGAAGGUGUUUUGUUUAAUAGACAAAGCAAUUGACGUUAGUCACAGAAGAAGCACCGGCUAACUCCGUGCCAGCAGCCGCGGUAAU